UGCAUGCUGGCAAUUUGACUGUAAAUCACAAAGGGCACCUGAGGGGUAUGAAACAACACAGACCCCCAACCCACAGUGUCAACCAACCAGUAUGAAGGAGGCUUGUUACCACACAUCUGUUUGCUGCACUGAAGCAUGCAAGCACACACUUGAUGAACAGCAUGUCACAGUCUACAACUUCAAGUUGUUAAGAUGGUGCAUGUGUUCACGCUUAACAGCAACUCCAAAGACACUACCCGUCGACGAAUAGAUGUCCAAGACCAGCCUAUGAUAGAUGAUCUGCACUCUCCAGUAAAGGUGGAAUCCUCGAAAGGUUCACUAAU